UGGGGAAUUUUGCACAAUGGAGGGAACUCUGAUGCAGCGACGCCGCGUGAGUGAUGAAGGAAUUCGUUUCGUAAAACUCUUUUCUAUGGGAAGAAAAGGUCUGUACCAUAGGAGAAAGCUCCGGCUAUAUACGUGCCAGCAGCCGCGGUAAUACGUAUGGAGCGAGCGUUUUCCGGAAUUAUUGGGCGUAAAGGGUGCGCAGGCGGCUUUACAAGUUGGAUGUGAAAUAUUGUGGCUCAACCACAAACGUGCAUCCAAAACUGCAAAGCUUGAGUUAAGGAGAGGUAAGUGGAAUUCCUGGUGUAGCGGUGGAAUGCGUAGAUAUCAGGAGGAAUACCGGUGGCGAAGGCGACUUACUGGACUUAAACUGACGCUCAGGGACGAAAGCGUGGGGAGCAAAAAGG
rnacentral:rRNA from 1 species